rnacentral:misc_RNA from 1 species
GAUGAAGAACGCAGCGAAAUGCGAUAAGUAAUGUGAAUUGCAGAAUUCCGUGAAUCAUCGAGUCUUUGAACGCACAUUGCGCCCCCUGGUAUUCCGGGGGGCAUGCCUGUCCGAGCGUCAUUACAACCCUCAAGCCCGGCUUGUGUAAUGGGCGGCCGUCUCUCCCCCCGGGGGGAGACGCCCCCGAAACUCAGUGGGGAUGUCGCGAUACCGAAGCCUCAGCUAAUGGGUAAACCACAGCUGCAAUGGCCGCGGCCGGCGUCCGCCUUCCACGGUCCGUCCGCCUAGCGCGGGCGGCCUUCUCAAGGUUGACCUCGGAUCAGGUAGGGAUACCCGCUGAACUUAAGCAUAUCAAUAAGCGGAGGA